rnacentral:rRNA from 1 species
CCUACGGGUGGCAGCAGUGGGGAAUAUUGGGCAAUGGGCGCAAGCCUGACCCAGCAACGCCGCGUGAAGGAAGAAGGCUUUCGGGUUGUAAACUUCUUUUAAGAGGGAAGAGCAAAAGACGGUACCUCUUGAAUAAGACACGGCUAACCACGUGCCAGCAGCCGCGGUAAGACGUAGGUGGCAAGCGUUGUCCGGAUUUACUGGGUGUAAAGGGCGGGAAGCCGGGAAGACAAGUCAGUUGUGAAAUCCCGCGGCUCAAACGCGGAACUGCAAUUGAAACUGUUUUUCUUGAGUACCGGAGAGGUCAUCGGAAUUCCUUGUGUAGCGGUGGAAUGCGUAGAUAUAAGGAAGAACACCAGUGGCGAAGGCGGAUGACUAGACGGCAACUGACGGUGAGGCACGAAAGCGUGGGGAGCAAACAGGAUUAGAUACCCUAGUAGUC